GUGUGUUAAUCGCCAAAAACAAAAGAAUUCUCUUUUUACCAAGCUGUGAAUUUUUCACAAAUUUGUAACUGUAACAUAUUACCAAAAUCUUUGAAAUAUAUGUGAUAAAAAAAAAAAAAUGACUCCCUGUGCAAUUGGCUUUCACAUUCAUUCAAUCCAAAAGGGUCCAAAUCACUAACGUCUGAAUUGUUGGGAAUGUUAGAUUGAGGUCAACAUAGCUUUAAGUCAGCCAGGUUUU